AUUGAACGCUGGCGGCAUGCCUUACACAUGCAAGUCGAACGGCAGCGGGGGAGAAGCUUGCUUUUCCUGCCGGCGAGUGGCGAACGGGUGAGUAAUACAUCGGAACGUGCCCUGUAGUGGGGGAUAACUAGUCGAAAGAUUAGCUAACACCGCAUACGACCUGAGGGUGAAAGUGGGGGACCGCAAGGCCUCAUGCUAUAGGAGCGGCCGAUGUCUGAUUAGCUAGUUGGUGGGGUAAAGGCCUACCAAGGCGACGAUCAGUAGCUGGUCUGAGAGGACGAUCAGCCACACUGGGACUGAGACACGGCCCAGACUCCUACGGGAGGCGGCAGUGGGGAAUUUUGGACAAUGGGCGAAAGCCUGAUCCAGCAAUGCCGCGUGUGUGAAGAAGGCCUUCGGGUUGUAAAGCACUUUUGUCCGGAAAGAAAUGGCUCUGGUUAAUACCUGGGGUCGAUGACGGUACCGGAAGAAUAAGGACCGGCUAACUACGUGCCAGCAGCCGCAGUAA
rnacentral:rRNA from 1 species